rnacentral:sRNA from 1 species
GAUUUAAACAAAUUCACUCCUCUCUUAGCUCACAAAUAAUCAAAGGAAAAUAACUAUGUUGCUUGAACAAAAAGCUAGGGUUUGCUCUGUAAUAGUAGUCUCUUGUAUUAGGUUAAAGAUGGUCUCAAUGGGGGGGGG